GUGCACAGGGAGAUUGGAAAAAAGACGGAGCCCAUAAACUCUUUCGGGAUUCUGGGUUGGAAAUUAUGGCUUUGAAUUAGUUCUGUUAUGCUUUAUAUUCAAUUUUCAUGUUCUCAGAGCUGAGGAUAGGUUAGACGUCACUGUUCUUAAAUUCCAAACGUGCAGAAGGAGAAGCAAAGCCAACAAGUCGAGGAGUUGUACAAGUUUUAGUGAUUGUUUGGUGGCGAUUUUCAGUUGUCAUUUUUUG
rnacentral:lncRNA from 1 species